AAUAUUGGGACAUAUAAAAAAAGACAACUCUGUUCCGUAGAGUAGCUGUUGACAUUACAGUUGCGCAGGAACUUUGUUGACUCUAGAGAACCCUGGGCAAAUCGCACAUCCCCGUGUCGGCGACUUUGCAUGCAGAUGUCAUCCAUAUCAACUUUUGAUGCCAGUUUCUGCGCCUACCAUGGUGACCACGGGUAACGGGCAAUCAGGGUUCCAUUCCGUACAGGGACCCUGAGAAACGACUACCACAUGCAAGGAUGCAGCAGGCGCACAAAUGACCCACUCCCGACGCGGGAAGGUAGUGA